rnacentral:snoRNA from 1 species
GUCUUCUCAGAAUUGCACCUGGAGGGUUUCCAGUACUCUACCAGUCACAGCUAAGGGAGGGAGAGUCAAGCAGAGACCUACCCAUUCCUUUACUAGCUUGGCCAGUGGCUAGCAAGUAGAAGGCAAUCUGCUACAAGU